rnacentral:misc_RNA from 1 species
GAAUUUGUUUCUCUUCCUUUGAAUCUUAAGAAUUUGAUUCUCUUGACCUUUGGUUUCUUCUUGUUCAUCUUCAACUUCAAUUUGUUGCAUUGAAUUAAAUAACAUAACUCCCAAGUUGAAUUAUCAUUGACUUCUUUGACUGCAUCAGAAUUAGAAGAGAAAUAUUUUAAUCUUGCCAGUGAAGUCUUUGAUUUUAAUUUUGAUAUCCCUACAAUUAGAUGAUAAUUUAGAAAAAGAUUUAGACUAAUGUGGCCCUGCAGAUUGUGAAGCCACUUUAUUAAAAGA